ACCGGGGGCGGCAGUGCGAGCGCAGCGCGCGAAAGGCCCCGCCCCUUCCUGGCCGCGCCGGGGAGGCCCUGGCCACAGCCGCCCGCAAGCAGUUCCGCUGCCGGAACGCUUCCCUGCCCCGUUCGCCCUGAAGUGCUUUCCCAAGGUUCGGGCCGGAGAGAGGUCUUGUAGGCGCAGCCGCCGAGGCCGUCGGCGCCGAGUAGGGUCUCCCACCCGGGUCAGAGCUGGGUGUCCGCGCCCUGCCCCCUCCCAGCACCCAGGCCGACGAAAUGACCAUUAAGAAGUAGAUGCCCAGAUGCAAAGUGAUGAAACAGUCCAAUUUGUCAUAAAGUAAGAUGCAGCUGUGGAUUUCAACCAGAUUAG